ensembl:lncRNA novel transcript, antisense to ARHGEF33
UUGUAGGCGCUGCUGCUGCCCGCCGGCGACGUAGCGCUCUUGGGCAGCGGCUGCAGCGGGUGCUCCGGCCGCUCGGCCUCCAUGGCGAAGCUGACGGGCCGCAGGAAGCAGAUGUCCAGGCUGGACUCGGAGGAGGCAGGCGAGCAGUUCUCGAAGAGGGCCGGAGCCUGGAACGGCUCCUCGUCGUAGGGCGCGGGCAGCGCGAAGAUCUCGCCGCCGUACUCGAACUCUUCGUAGGCCGCGGGCACGAAGCCGCGGGCAUCGGGCAGGAGCUCGGCCGGGGCGCGCAGGGAGCGCUCCACGUUGCCCAGCGGCUCCGCCGGAGAGGACUCGAAGUCCAUCUCCGGGAUGGCCUGCAGGGGCCCGGCCAGCGCCUUCACGUCCUGCUCGGCCGCGCAGAACUGCGUCGGUGCCAGAAGGCUCUCGGGCCGCUCGUGCUUCCUGCCCUCCAGCUCCCAGUCACUGGGCUUCCCGGGCUGCAUGCUCUCCAUCAGGCUUUGCUGCUGUUGGCUUUUCUUCACUGGGGGCAUCAGAUGUCUUUAGGGGGAAAACAGAGUACAAAAGAGCUGUGCUUACGGCCGGUUAGUGCAGGCCUCUCGCCUGCCGGCGCCCCUCGGGGCCGCGCUCCGAGGCGCCUGUGCAUGCCACCUCCCGAGCUCCACAAACUUCCACUAAGGCGCUCCCACGAACCCCCGUUCCCAGGCGGAGAGUGGACAAGGCAGUCCGUCGAGCGGAGGCCCGAAGGUAUUGUCUGAGCUUCUGGGAAAUGGCCUGCGGGCCAGGGACUGUCAUCACCCCGCGUGGAAGCCCUGACCCUCCUCACCACCUGCGGUGCUCCAAGGCACACCUUCAACUCUCUUCUCUCCCUUGCUUGCCCUAGCAGAGUCAUACGGAAUAAUGGAAAACUCAACUUCUGUUCGACUUGUGGAUCUUCACACUCAGAAACAAAUUACGUUCCUAGAUAAAGUAAACGUGGCAUGAUCUUGAUAACUGUUGAAUCUGGAUGAGGGCAUGUGGAGUUCACUGAACUCUUCUAUGUAAAUUUGAAAUUUUCAUAAUAAAAAUUUUAAAAUAUUCCUUGUCACUGUAAA